rnacentral:lncRNA from 1 species
UUUCCUCCUCAAUCUCAAAGGUACUGCCCAGCGGGCAAAAAUGACGUUUAUCCAACGUUGAAUCAACGUUGGAAAUGACCUUCCAGACGUUGGAUAGACGUUGAGAAAGGGUCGACUAUGCAAAUUGGAUCGACGUUACUGUUUCGACGUUGAAACAACGUUGAAAUUAGGUUGCCAAUCUCGUCAACUAUAAUUCAACGUUGAAUCCACGUUAAAACAACGUUGAGAUUGGUUCACAAAUCGACGUCGUACAUUUAACCAUGAAUGAACGUUAAUUCAACGUCUGUUGGCUGCUGUUGAACCAAUGUUUGUAAAACAACGUCAGAGCAACGUAGAUAUUAGGUUGUCGACGUCGCAACCUUUUUUCUACCAAAUUUCAACGUUCAAACAACG